GUAAGGAAUAUUGGACAAUGGACGCAAGUCUGAUCCAGCCAUGCCGCGUGAAGGAUUAAGGUCCUCUGGAUUGUAAACUUCUUUUAUAAGGGACGAAAAAAGGCUUUUCUAAGUCGUCUGACGGUACCUUAUGAAUAAGCACCGGCUAACUCCGUGCCAGCAGCCGCAGUAAUACGGAGGGUGCAAGCGUUAUCCGGAUUCACUGGGUUUAAAGGGUGCGUAGGCGGGCAGGUAAGUCAGUGGUGAAAUCCUAGAGCUUAACUCUAGAACUGCCAUUGAUACUAUCUGUCUUGAAUAUUGUGGAGGUAAGCGGAAUAUGUCAUGUAGCGAUGAAAUGCUUAGAUAUGACAUAGAACACCUAUUGCGAAGGCAGCUUACUACGCAUAUAUUGACGCUGAGGCACGAAAGCGUGGGGAUCAAACAGGAUUAGAUACCCGGGUAGUCC
rnacentral:rRNA from 1 species